rfam:Ciona savignyi cont_46568, whole genome shotgun sequence.
GACCGCAUGGCCUAAUGGUUAUGGCGUCUGACUUCGAAUCAGAAGAUUGAGGGUUCGAGUCCCUCUGUGGUCU